GACGAACGCUGGCGGCGUGCUUAACACAUGCAAGUCGAACGGAAAGGCCCUGCUUGCAGGGUACACGAGUGGCGAACGGGUGAGUAACACGUGGGUGAUCUGCCCUGCACUUCGGGAUAAGCUUGGGAAACUGGGUCUAAUACCGGAUAGGAGCCAUCUUUAGUGUGGUGGUUGGAAAGUUUUUUCGGUGUAGGAUGAGCUCGCGGCCUAUCAGCUUGUUGGUGGGGUAAUGGCCUACCAAGGCGGCGACGGGUAGCCGGCCUGAGAGGGUGUGCGGCCACAUUGGGACUGAGAUACGGCCCAGACUCCUACGGGAGGCAGCAGUGGGGAAUAUUGCACAAUGGGCGCAAGCCUGAUGCAGCGACGCCGCGUGGGGGAUGAAGGCCUUCGGGUUGUAAACUCCUUUCGCUAGGGACGAAGCUUUUUUGUGACGGUACCUAGAGAAGAAGCACCGGCUAACUACGUG
rnacentral:rRNA from 1 species